ACGCUCGACACCUACGGGGGGCAGCAGUGGGGAAUAUUGCACAAUGGGGGAAACCCUGAUGCAGCGACGCCGCGUGAGUGAAGAAGUAUUUCGGUAUGUAAAGCUCUAUCAGCAGGGAAGAAGAUGACGGUACCUGAGUAAGAAGCCCCGGCUAACUACGUACCAGCAGCCGCGGUAAUCUGAGCGGGCUGGCAAGGC
rnacentral:rRNA from 1 species